rnacentral:piRNA from 1 species
UGGCCUUACCUUGGAAAGAAACAUGUGUC